AUGUCAUCCUGUGAGGUGACGAAGGCGCAGAUUUAUAUAAAUUUUUAAAAGAUAGCUAUUUUUUAAAAAGUCUUACUCUGAGGGCCUAUUGCUGCA
rnacentral:sRNA from 16 species